rnacentral:lncRNA from 1 species
UGAAAACUCGCAGUUUUGGCCUAUUCCAGCCAGUUUUGUAUGCUAUUACUCAAUGAUUUUGGUUCCUGCUGCGAUACGAAUGUUUCGGGAACCCCGGGGUCCGGUUACGGGGAACUCUUCAAAACUCGCAGUUUUGGCUUAUUCUGCCGAGUUUUGUAAGAUAUUACUCACUGAUUUUGGGUCCGCUGCGAUCCGAACAUUUUGGGAACCCCGGGGUCCAGUUAUGGGAACUCGUCAAAACUCGCAGUUUUGCCCUAUUCCAGCCGGUUUUGUAUGCUAUUAGUUAGUGAUUUUGGGUCCCGGUACCAUCCGAACGUUUCGGGAACCUCGGGGUCCGGUUAAGGGGAAAUCAUGAAAACUCGCAGUUUUGGCCUAUUCCGUCCUGUUUUGUAUGCUAUUACUCACUGAUUUUGGUUGCCGCUGCGAUCCAAACAUUUCGGGAACCCCGGGGUCCGGUUACGGGAAACUCGUCAAAACUCGCAGUUUUGGUCUAUUGUGGCCAGUUUUGUAUGCUAUUACUCAUUGAUUUUGGGUCCCGCUGUGAACCGAACGUUUCGGGAACCCCGGGGUCCGAUUACGUGGAACUCAUUAAAACUCAUAGUUUUGGCCUAUUCCCCCCAGUUUUGUAUGCUAU